AGGACUUCAUGCCUGGGGCUGUGAAUCUGAUCCUCCUGGAAGGAAAAAGAGACGUGUCGACAUUCCUUCUCCUUGCUGCGAUUAACAUCAGAUGUCUGACCACAAGGAAGCUGAACGAACUCAGGAGCUGCUUCAGGACCUGUGAGAUGGCUUGGCAGAAUUUAAGGGUCAUUUACUUUUUCGGGAUAUUACACUUUCUAAAUAAUCAUAUCAAAAUAUGACUGUUGGACAGAACAUGUUUUCAGCCAUUAGAAGAAUCAGAGGCAUCUGACAAAGAGAAAUGAAACCUUGAGCAUUUUAACACAUGUUCACAAAGAGAGCACAGGACAUUUCCUCAUGCCUGCAGAAGCACAGCGUGAUGAAAGGGUGGAAAGAAACGUGGAGGACAAAAUGAAACUAGCUCUUAUGUAAUGAUAAGCGGCUUUAUUGAAGUGUUUUGUACCACUAUCCGUUUUAAGAUUGAUACCUUUAGGAUACCCUCAAUGCUGCUGUUCG
rnacentral:lncRNA from 1 species